CAACUUCCACCUGGCAUACCUCUUCAGUUAUACGCCAAGGCUUGUAUCGCCAUGAGCGUAUUGUGGGUUUUCUGUGUUGCAUACCUAAUCAAUGGUACUGAUUUGAUUGAUUGAUGUCCCUUUCGUCUUGGGCUGCACUUGUGGCCUGGGAUGAACUUUGAAGCGUCUCUUUGAUCCACUCAUCAGAUGCACAUGCUUUGAUUGUUUGGCUCAUUGGGUAUCGCUUGGUCUCUUGUAUAUGGAACUUGAUGUGGGCAUGGGGUCGCAUGAUCCUUUUUUGCCCUCCUUGAGCGUUGUCGCUUCUCUAAAACUGAUCCAUUCGUGCCUAGGCUGAAACCCUGUGCGGUGGUGUAUGUUUAGAGGAACGAGACCGUUUAAAGCUUUUCCAAAACGACUGUCCUCUGCGCCUAGGCUCGUACCUGCGUGGUGGUCAUGUCGAGGAGGAAUGCUACCUGGUUGAUCCUGCCAGUAGUCAUAUGCUUGUCUCAAAGAUUAAGCCAUGCAUGUGUAAGUA
rnacentral:misc_RNA from 1 species